AUCCGUCGUCAAGAGGGAAACAACCCAGACUACCAGCUAAGGUCCCUAAAUCUUACUUAAGUGGAAAACGAUGUGAAGUUACUUAAACAACCAGGAGGUUGGCUUAGAAGCAGCCAUCCUUUAAAGAAAGCGUAAUAGCUCACUGGUCUAGUGAUUUUGCGCGGAAAAUAUAACGGGGCUAAAGUAAGUACCGAAGCUGUAGACUUGCACACAACUUAGAUUAUUUAAGUUUAGAAUAUGAGAAACUAAGUUAUAUGUUUAGUUAUAUUUUUACUGAUUUUUAUAGAGUAAAGAUAGAAAUAAAACUUAAUAAAAUCAGUAAAAAUAUUCUUAGGCUAAAGUUAAGUAGUUUAAGUUGUGUGCAAGUGGUAGGAGAGCGUUCUAUUUGCGUCGAAGGUAUACCGGUAAGGAGUGCUGGAGCGAAUAGAAGUGAGCAUGCAGGCAUGAGUAGCGAUAAUUAAUGUGAGAAUCAUUAACGCCGUAAACCCAAGGUUUCCUACGCGAUGCUCGUCAUCGUAGGGUUAGUCGGGUCCUAAGUCGAGUCCGAAAGGGGUAGACGAUGGCAAAUUGGUUAAUAUUCCAAUACCAACAUUAGUGUGCGAUGGAAGGACGCUUAGGGCUAAGGGGGCUAGCGGAUGGAAGUGCUAGUCUAAGGUUGUAGGAGGUUAUACAGGCAAAUCCGUAUAACAAUACUCCGAGAACUGAAAGGCUUUUUGAAGUCUUCGGAUGGAUAGAAGAACCCCUGAUGCCGUCGAGCCAAGAAAAGUUUCUAAGUUUAGCUAAUGUUGCCCGUACCGUAAACCGACACAGGUGGGUGGGAUGAGUAUUCUAAGGCGCGUGGAAGAACUCUCUUUAAGGAACUCUGCAAAAUAGCACCGUAUCUUCGGUAUAAGGUGUGGUUAGCUUCGUACUAGGAUUUACUCCGAAAGCGAAGAAACUUACAACAAAGAGUCCCUCCCGACUGUUUACCAAAAACACAGCACUCUGCUAACUCGUAAGAGGAUGUAUAGGGUGUGACGCCUGCCCGGUGCUCGAAGGUUAAUUGAUGGGGUUAGCAUUAGCGAAGCUCUUGAUCGAAGCCCGAGUAAACGGCGGCCGUAACUAUAACGGUCCUAAGGUAGCGAAAUUCCUUGUCGGUUAAAUACCGACCUGCAUGAAUGGCGUAACGAGAUGGGAGCUGUCUCAAAGAGGGAUCCAGUGAAAUUGUAGUGGAGGUGAAAAUUCCUCCUACCCGCGGCAAGACGGAAAGACCCCGUGGACCUUUACUACAGCUUGACACUGCUACUUGGAUAAGAAUGUGCAGGAUAGGUGGGAGGCUUUGAGUAUAUGACGCCAGUUGUAUAUGAGCCAUUGUUGAGAUACCACUCUUUCUUAUUUGGGUAGCUAACCAGCUUGAGUUAUCCUCAAGUGGGACAAUGUCUGGUGGGUAGUUUGACUGGGGCGGUCGCCUCCCAAAUAAUAACGGAGGCUUACAAAGGUUGGCUCAGAACGGUUGGAAAUCGUUCGUAGAGUAUAAAGGUAUAAGCCAGCUUAACUGCAAGACAUACAAGUCAAGCAGAGACGAAAGUCGGUCUUAGUGAUCCGGUGGUUCUGUGUGGAAGGGCCAUCGCUCAAAGGAUAAAAGGUACCCCGGGGAUAACAGGCUGAUCUCCCCCAAGAGCUCACAUCGACGGGGAGGUUUGGCACCUCGAUGUCGGCUCAUCGCAUCCUGGGGCUGGAGCAGGUCCCAAGGGUAUGGCUGUUCGCCAUUUAAAGCGGUACGCGAGCUGGGUUCAGAACGUCGUGAGACAGUUCGGUCCCUAUCUGCCGUGGGCGUAAGAAGAUUGAAGAGAUUUGACCCUAGUACGAGAGGACCGGGUUGAACAAACCACUGGUGUAGCUGUUGUUCUGCCAAGAGCAUCGCAGCGUAGCUAAGUUUGGAAAGGAUAAACGCUGAAAGCAUCUAAGCGUGAAGCCAACUCUAAGAUGAAUCUUCUCUAAGCUCUCUAGAAGACUACUAGUUUGAUAGGCUGGGUGUGUAAUGGAUGAAAGUCCUUUAGCUGACCAGUACUAAUAGAGCAUUUGGCUUAUCUUUAAUAAAGCAU
rnacentral:rRNA from 1 species